AGUGCCGUAGAGUAUGUAAAUAAGCAGGAGCCAGAAGCGGAUUCCUACUCCACGCCCAGCUCCCCAGUGGGUUUCUCCGUGUUCUGCUCCCCCUGGGCUCCUGCUCUCCCCCUCUGCUUAUGCCAAGGAAAGAAAGAAUCUGCAGUGAGAAGCAAGAAUACCCAUCCCACUGUUAACCUACGUAGAACGAAGUGCAUUGCUAGAUGACCUUUGCAGACCAAGCAGCAAGAGGGAGAGAGGAACAGACAGCACCACACCACAAAGAGCCACUGGAAAACCAGCAAAUCACCAGAAACAAGAGAACGAAAAGAAGAACUGCAUACAUCCAGUGGAUCAUGUCAGCAAGCAGGAGCCUCAGCUUCUAUUGGAUGGAAGCAGUGGGGAUUGCAUCAAUGGACCACAUGAACCUAUUUUUAUACAAUGCACAAUUAUUUCUAUGAUUUGAACUACACCAGGUUAUAAGGAUGCUGGGUAUAAUUACAUUUCCUUACCCAGACACUAUUAAAACAGAGAUCAUUUA